AGAAUCUGUUGGUUAUUCCCACCCCUGAUCCUCACCCCCAGCCCCUGCCCAGGGCAGUCUGAAGGAACAGAUCUCACCCACCAGCCUUCUCCUCUGCUGAGGAGAGCCACGGAGCUGAGAGGGGAGGGAUGGAGGGUAGAAUCCAGCAGCAGCACAUGUAGGAGGGAAAGCUGUCCCAUCUCAGUGUGCAGAGAUCCUGUCUGGCUGCAGGGAAGGAGUGAUGCCAGCUCUCCACUGUGCUGGGGGACACAGACAGCCCCUUCUCCCAUCUCAAGAUUCACAGAAUCUCACAGUCCUGGAAUGGUUUGGGUUGGAAGAGACCCCAAAGAUCGUCUAGUUCCAACCCUUUGCCAUAAGCAGGAUUCUUGGGAAUUUGGUCUUCCUGUGGCUGAACUGCUGGAAGGGCCUCUGAGAGGAAAUCAUAUCCUGUUCAACCAGCCCACUCCUGCAGCAAAAGGGGUUUUUCCUCCAGUCUGUGUUAUUUCUGAGGGAGGAUGUAGCUGCAGUGCUGAUGGAGUCUCCUGCUGCCAGCAGUGGUCAGGGAGAGCACGGCUGCUUCCCUCCCCUCUGGGCCUGAAGCCAGGCAGGGAGGGCUGGAGCCUGGAGCAGCACCAGCACUGCCAAACAGCUCAUUUUCAGUGUAGUGAAACGAAGAAUGAUCCUUCAAGAGACCAAGCAGGAAACUUGAUUUUUCCAAGGAAACCAUUGAAAAAAUCAGCAUCUUCCUGUAGACUGGUUUUGGCUGCAUUAGAUCACCAUUUUCCUGG